CACGUAGGGCGCAAGCGUUGUCCGGAAUUAUUGGGCGUAAAGAGCUCGUAGGCGGUCUGUUACGUCUGCUGUGAAAACCCAGGGCUUAACCCUGGGCUUGCAGUGGAUACGGGCAGACUAGAGGCAGGUAGGGGAGAAUGGAAUUCCCGGUGUAGCGGUGAAAUGCGCAGAUAUCGGGAGGAACACCAGUAGCGAAGGCGGCACUCUGGGCCGGUACUGACGCUGAGGAGCGAAAGCGUGGGGAGCGAACAGG
rnacentral:rRNA from 1 species